rnacentral:lncRNA from 1 species
CAUAUAUAGAGCUCGGGAGAAGGUUGACACUUGCACCCAAAUCUAAUAAUGCCUUCUUAAUCAUGAGGUUCCCUAUGACACAAGAAAUAAUUGGGGUACCUGGAUCUUUCAGUUUGGAUGGGGUAAUUUGCUGGAAAACUGAGCUGGCCUGCUCAGUUAGGUGGACUUUUCUUAGUAUUUGUGCCUUUGAUUUUCAUUUCUGUGUAUACAGGUCCUUUAGAAAUUUGGCAU